UUAUGAACGUUUGGUGCGUAGGGAUCUUGAUUCCCAUGCAAUGCUGGUGCACUUUCUCUUUGGCAAAUAGCUGAAUAAUUCCAUCAUGAAUAAAGCACAUCUGCCAGAAUUUUAUGGUCUGAUUUUAUUUGAUAAUUGACAAUAUAAUGCUGUAAAAUGUAUUUUAUAUAUGCAGGCACCAACAAUUGCAGCAGCAGCAUAUUUGAGGAUGGCUGGAAGGCCGCCAGUUCUUCCUUCGAGCAACCUUUCUUAUUCAGACAACUUUUUGUAUAUGCUGGACUCAUUGUCUCAAGUGUCAGUUGAUGAAUGGAGCGAUAGGAACAAAAAUGUAGAGAUCUUCUGCUUCCUCUAUUACGGGAAUCUUGAAUUCCCCAGGUUCUGGUGGGGCAAAGAAGAACUGUGGACUGCAAGUCCAGAAGGAGCUGACGGAAGCAGAAAUGCAUGAUAGGGCUGUGGAUAUAUGCAAAUGGGUGAGGUCCAGUCAUUCAGUUGGGCCCCACAAGGGCUAAAAAUCAAUGGGACUGCACAAAGCUCUUGGUGAACUUCCAUUCUUCUGCAGCGGAUAGUAAGCUGAAGGCGGUCCACCGGAAGUACUCUAAUCCUCUACGUGGAGCUGUCACUU